UCUGUGCCACCCGUCGCCGGGAAUUAGCCGCGAGUGGAUGGGAAACAUUUCGAUUCAUUUAUCAUCAGAAUUCGAAGAGCAAUUCAUUACUCCGUUUAUUUUAAUAUUUCAACUCAAACCGACUUUGAAGUUAGAAAGAGAUUCCCAGAUGCCCUUACCUCGCCUUUCGCUGAGCCUCCGUCAUUGCCGACCACUCCUCACUUGAUGGCUUCUCGCUUGCUCACUGACAGGGACACAAAACAGAGCCGUAACCCAGCUCUAAGCCCCCUCCUCUUCUUCUCUUAAAGGGCCACCCGCGCUUCAGUCCAUCCGUCACAAAGUCUUCGCGGCCGCCAGGAGUCAGAGAACAACUUUUACCGGGGUUGUGCAUGCAGGCUGUAGUCACCCAGUUGGCCAGAAGGGGUCACUGGUGAGCACCGAGACGCUCCUAGAACGGGGGCUCACAGCUGGGUCCAGCAGCCUGGCUCAAACCUGAAAGGGCAGAGAGGAGGAGAGAAGAGGAG